rnacentral:rRNA from 1 species
UAGGGAAUCUUCGGCAAUGGACGAAAGUCUGACCGAGCAACGCCGCGUGAGUGAAGAAGGUUUUCGGAUCGUAAAACUCUGUUGUGAGAGAAGAACAAGGACGUUAGUAACUGAACGUCCACUGACGGUAUCUAACCAGAUAGCCACGGCUAACUACGUGCCAGCAGCCGCGGUAAUACGUAGGUGGCAAGCGUUGUCCGGAUUUAUUGGGCGUGAAGCGAGCGCAGGCGGUUUCUUAAGUCUGAUGUGAAAGCCCCCGGCUCAACCGGGGAGGGUCAUUGGAAACUGGUAGACUUGAGUGCAGGAGAGGGGAGUGGAAUUCCAUUUGGAGCGGUGAAAUGCGUGGAUAUAUGGAGGAACACCAGUGGCGAAGGCGGCUCUCUGGGCUGUAACUGACGCUGAGGCUCGAAAGCGUGGGGGGCAAACAGG